ACAGCAGUCGCCACGGUAAUACGGAGGGUGCAAGCGUUAAUCGGAAUUACUGGGCGUAAAGCGCACGCAGGCGGUCUGACAAGUCAGAUGUGAAAUCCCCGGGCUUAACCUGGGAACUGCAUUUGAAACUGUCAGGCUGGAGUCUUGUAGAGGGGGGUAGAAUUCCAGGUGUAGCGGUGAAAUGCGUAGAGAUCUGGAGGAAUACCGGUGGCGAAGGCGGCCCCCUGGACAAAGACUGACGCUCAGGUGCGAAAGCGUGGGGAGCAAACAGGAUUAGAUACCCGGGUAGUCCCUGUCUCUUAUAC
rnacentral:rRNA from 1 species